CAAAUAUUCUUGUCAAACUUGACACUUGAGUAAUUGAAAAGUGAAUCAUAAGUGAAUAUGGUGGAGAAAAAAGCCAAUAUAAAAUCAACAAAUGCAUCGAAAAAAAAAACAAAAUCAGAAGAAGGCAAUGAAAAAGGUCAAAAAAACAAUUCUAAUAAUGCCAAUACUAAGAAGCAUAAAAAAAAUAGUAGUAUCCCUUCUGAAAAGAUAUCAAUAGAAAUGAUCAAGGAAUCAUCUAGAACAACAGCCUUCAGUGACAUUGACUCGAAAAGUGUAGACGAAAUACCAACCACUGGUGAAGAGCUUUUGAAAUGGGCAAGGGAACAAAUGAGCUUCAUAUCCAGUAGAUCUAAUGAAGAAAGCUGUAUUGCCUUGGUAGAAGAGUUGGAAAUCCCCGUUCCUCCAUCACCUAAGAAGAAACCACAAUCUCCAAAAAAGGCAAAGGGUGAAAAAGAAGGAAAAAAGGAGAAAACCAAGAAAAAGACUGAAAAAAAGUCUAAAGCUGCUACGACGGAAAAAGUCACUGAUGAAGAUAUCCUUGAUCCAAAUGUACAAGGACCUUUAGAAGAUGAAGUGAUGUUUCGGUGGAGAUUGAAAAAAGAAGAACAAAGACGUUUAUCCAGAAGGAAGAUUAAAAGCGAAGUGACAUUUGUCGAUCCAACAGUUAACGUGGAAAGAAGUUCAAGUUUUGUCGAAAUGAAGAAAGAACGGAGAAAAACAAGAAAAUCCAUUAUGGCUGCCAAGAAAGAAGCGCAGAAAAUUCUCGAAAGGGAAAUGGAAGAACAGAGACUUAGGGAAGAGUUAUUUCAAGAAGCUCUCUUGAAGCAACAACAAGAAGAAGAUGAAGAAAUCCUCAGGGAGCAAAGGAACAGCGUGACAUUAAAAAGAAUAAAAAAAUUCGAAAAAGAACGACUAGACAACGUCUGGAAUCUCUUAAGGAAAUCAGAGGAAGUUCACUACAGGACCUGUCAAAAAAUUCCUCUAGUUACCAAAGCAGAUCAAUUAACUGCUUUCGUGAAAAAAUGGAAAAAUGACAUCGAAGAUAUGAAUAUUGAGGAACUCGGAGAGAUUUGCAGUGUGAAUCUAGAACUUCUGAAUCAUCUGAAAGAAUUAGUCUUCUAUACAUCUACGAACGAUCCUGAGAAAAUGAACCAAUGGAAUUGGGCUUCAAGAAUGUUGAGGGACGUGCAGAAAGAAAUGUUGGAGAGAGCAAUAUUCAAUAUCCUUUCAGACAUAUACAAGAAUUUGAAGAUAGAUAACUUAGAUUACGGAGAAUACUAUCACUCGAACAACUCAUUCACCCUCUCCAUUUGGUUGAAACUAGACUGGCCUGUAUCUUUACCAGAUCCCAGGAAACCAGCCGAGCCAAGCAGAGAAAUCAAUCUGGAGGAAUUAGCCAUAACUUGCGUACUUCCCCAAUCUAUACAGUGCGAUCAGAAGAUUCUAACAUGCCUCUAUGUGCCCUACGAUCAUGUCAGUGAUACCUGUGAAACCUUCUUUCCUCUACCAAAACCAGAAUAUUUGACCAAAGAUCUUAUUCAAACAAUCAACGAAGAUAAAUUGCGCAAGCAAAAAUACGCUUACGAGAGUUUUCUCAGGUCUGAAUAUAUAGAAAAGGUGGAGAAAUACAAGCAGAAGCACCCGGAAGGCAAAUACCCAACGCCAUUCUUGCUUCCAGAAAUACCUUUAAACGCAGACAUACCGAAGACGCCUGUACAAAACCUAGAUCCUACUCCCAGCGAAUACGUAGAAAUGGCUGAUGAUGUCCUUUACGAACAUUGCUUGAAGGGCAUAAGCAGACAGACUGCAGAAAACGAAGUGAACUUAAGAGAAUAUCAGCUGAUCGGAGGUUUGUUCAUGAUCCAGCUGAUGUAUCAUCCGCCACAGCCACAGCCAUUAGUCAAAUUGCAUAUGACCGUAAGGACAGUAACUCAGCCUAAGAAGCUCGAAAUCGUCCCUUUUUACAAGGAAUUCCAUCCUCCGCCCCCUCCGUGGAUGUACGAGGAACUCAGUAGAAGUCUGAGUUCCACUACGAAGUCCUUGAAAAACAUCAGAUCCAAGAGGCUUACAGCCAGAUACGGCAGCAGCAGAACUAUACAAGGAAAAGAGGGAAGUUUUGACCCGGAAGAGGUGCAGAAGUACAAGGACGCACAGGAGCAAUGGGAGCACGAUGUACAACUCGAGAAAGAAAAGUUGAUAUGUUUUAGUUUAUGUUUACCAAAGGACGUGAUCUUUUUGGAGAACCCCAGUGUUUGUCUUUGGGAUGAGAACUCAAAAUCUUGGACCACUAGAGGCAUAUAUGAAAUCGAUUUUGAACACAUGGAAAGAAAGUUAACUUUCAGAUCUUCUGGAUUUGGAUUAUUCGGUUUGUCAGUAAAAAGGCACAUGAACUACCCAUAUAAGAACUGGGAUGUAAGACCCAAUGCCGACGAUUCUAUUUCCAUUGUUCUGGAAGGUUCCAAGGUCACAAUUAAUCUUACUAUACACGAAUCCAACGUGAGAAUUGAUGAUUUCGAGUACAGACUAUCUGAGUUCUUGGUAGGUAAAAAAGGACUUAACUGUCUGAAAUUUAAGAAUUGGAGCCUUUCAAAAUUCAUAGAGGUAAUGCAGUCAAGUGGGCUGGACAUGUUUCCAGACUACGAUGCCAAUUGUUACUAUACAGGUCUUACUGCCCAUUUAGGCUGCAAAGGCUUUACUAACUUCAACUUUAAUAAUUAAUAAUAAUUUUAUUUGUCAAGAAGGAAACUAUUAACAAUUGAAAUUAAAUUAGAAAAAAUAAAACCUAUGACAAACAAACUGAAAUACCACAAAGUCAGAGACUGUGUGUGGCUUAAAAAAACAUGGAAAUUACAAAGAUAGUGGUCACUUUGAACAUAUAUCCAAUAAAUCGAAAAAACUAGAAAGAUUAACACUAAGAUUGCGAAAAUUGCAAAGAAAAAGCACCCCAAGAAGAUCAUCUCUCAACCAGACGAUGGAUCUCAUAUCUGUCUCGCCCCAUCAAAAACCUCUUCAAUCUUCACUUGAACAUACCUAAACUGCUUGAAAGCCUUAUAUUGUUUUGCAAGUAGUUGAAGAAUCGGGACAGCAGAUAAGAAUAUCCUUGUUGUCCUAUUGAUUCGGAUGCAUAAGAAGUCUCGAAAAAACUGUUUGCCCUCCUUGUCCCGUAAAUACACACUCUCGCCCGAAGGUUGGAUUUGUGAUUGAAUUCAGAGCAGCACACUCUAAGGAAAUAAAUUUGUCGAGGAGCCCCGACUCCAAGAAGAGUAGAUCCGAAGGAUAAAGUCGUGGUUUAUAUAGUAUAAUUCUUAUAAUGGCUUUUUGUAAGACGUCGAUAUGUUGUGGAUAUGUUUCUUCAAAGCCGAUCCCCACGCCGCUACUCUGUAGGAAAUUCUGGACUCGAUCAACGACUUAUAGACCAUCCUCACAUGUGUCCCUUCAAGGAAAUUCCGCAGGUAUUUGAACUUAUACAGCAAACUCCUCAACGCUCCACAGACACUCUGUACAUGUUUAUUCCAUCUGAGAUGACAGUCGAUAAUUAUUCCAAGAUACCUGACAGACUCACUCACCCCGAUCUCAGCACCAUCGAUGUUCAGCCGCUCAAAGAGAGGGAGAACGUCUCCGCGGCAGGAGAAAGGCAAGCAGACAGACUUAUCAAAGUUGAUACCACUACAGAAAAACAUUGGGGUAUGGCCUACGUUACUUACUACGCUAUGGCACAGUCAGCCAUCCGAUACAACUUUGCAAGCUCCAAGUGGAACGCAGAAACGGGAAGAAGAUCUAUAGUCUUCCGAGUAAGAGAAUU